GAGGGUAUAGCUUAACGGUAGAGUGCACACUUUGCAUGCAUGAGGUCCUGGGUUCAAUCUCCACUACCUUUA
rnacentral:tRNA from 1 species